rnacentral:rRNA from 1 species
CCUACGGGAGGCAGCAGUGAGGAAUAUUGGUCAAUGGGCGGAAGCCUGAACCAGCCAAGUAGCGUGCGGGAUGAAGGCCCUACGGGUCGUAAACCGCUUUUGCACGGGGAUAACACCCUCCACUUGUGGAGGUCUGCAGGUACCGUGCGAAUAAGGGCCGGCUAAUUCCGUGCCAGCAGCCGCGGUAAUACGGAAGGCCCGAGCGUUAUCCGGAUUCAUUGGGCUUAAAGGGAGCGUAGGCGGGCGUUCAAGUCAGCUGUAAAAUCGCGCGGCUCAACCGCGCCCCGCAGUUGAAACUGGACGCCUUGAGUUCACAACAGGCAGGCGGAAUUCGUGGUGUAGCGGUGAAAUGCAUAGAUAUCACGAGGAACAUCGGUGGCGUAAGCGCUUUACUGGGCCGUAAUUGACGCUGAGGAACGAAAGCCAGGGUAGCAAAUGGGAUUAGAUACCCCGGUAGUC